AGGAUUUAAAUCGCACUACCCAAGAAAUCAUCUUUUGAAUUCUAGAAAUUUAAUCAGCAUGAAGUGCUGUAUGGACAUUAAUUAGAAGAACUGAAGUGUUAACCCAAUCUAAGCUCGUCACAAAACAGUUUUUUUUUCCAAAAAAAAAAUGAAAACAUAGUAAUUACAUUUGUAGAUCUCGAUGGUAGGCAUCAUUUGUUUACACAGACUAAAAGAGAGAACACCUUCAAAUCACUCAAACCAUGCACGAACCCAUCAGACAAGCAUAAAGAAAAGGGCAGCAUGUCUUAUGACAUAAAGUAAACAGGGGAGGAAAUAAAAAAAAAUUCUGCUACCACUUAGGUUUAAACUCAUCUUUUAAUGACUCUUCCAAGGCUUCAAUUCAACAUGAAUAAUAGUAGAGAUAGAAGAAGAUAGGAGGAUAACCUGAAUGCGAAAUAUUUCAAUUAAUUCUGGGAGUCGAAUACAAAGAAAUGCGACAACAAAGUUGAGCAGAAACUGUAGCCAAAUUGAAAUUGCGAAAGACCAACUCGGACAGAAUCAAUAGAGCCCAGAAAUUCAGAAUCCCAGACACAAACUUCAACUUGAAAUUUAAUCCAAAACAUCCUUUUAGAACCAGAAAUUAAGAAAAGAACCAAGGCUAAAAGGAUAUCUGUUUCAGUAGCCUUUUUUUUAUUUUUUCUCUUAAAAAAACUCGAAUGAAAGCUGAACUCCAGCCAUUUGUUUUCUUUUAUGCUUUUUGUAUCUUUUCUGAAAAAAAAAAAGAAAUAGACUAAGAAAAACCUUCAAGAAAAGUGACGAUUUCAACCCUAGAAAUUUUACUCGACUAACUUUUUUCUGAAGAUUUUUCUCCGAUUUUUUCUCUAUAUUUUCCCUUUUUUUAGCACAUAGGACUCACCUCAUAUAUAUAGUCUUCAAAAUCUUCAAAUAAUCUGCCCAAAAAUUCGAAAAAUCCCUCAAGUUUUUGAACAAUUUUGGGACAAAUGGAGGGCGUGGAUUGAUUCACAUCUAUCCACGGCUCCCAUUCAUCCAACAAUUGUCCUUUCUGCACCCAAAAUCAUGCGAUUUGGGAGAGAAAAUUCGUACUCCUCUCUGACAAAUCCGUUAGGACUCAAAUGACGUGAAGGGGGGACCGUUUUGAGUGAGCUCGCUCAAAACUCAGGCUAGUUAAGGUAAGUCAAGGAGGAAGAAGAUGAAGGAAUAGGGUGAAGCGCCAUUUCUCUGAUUUCUCUAGGGUU
rnacentral:lncRNA from 1 species